GGUUAAGCGACUAAGCGUACACGGUGGAUGCCCUGGCAGUCAGAGGCGAUGAAGGACGUGCUAAUCUGCGAUAAGCGUCGGUAAGGUGAUAUGAACCGUUAUAACCGGCGAUUUCCGAAUGGGGAAACCCAGUGUGUUUCGACACACUAUCAUUAACUGAAUCCAUAGGUUAAUGAGGCGAACCGGGGGAACUGAAACAUCUAAGUACCCCGAGGAAAAGAAAUCAACCGAGAUUCCCCCAGUAGCGGCGAGCGAACGGGGAGNNNNNNNNNNNNNNNNNCUGUGAGCUCGAUGAGUAGGGCGGGACACGUGGUAUCCUGUCUGAAUAUGGGGGGACCAUCCUCCAAGGCUAAAUACUCCUGACUGACCGAUAGUGAACCAGUACCGUGAGGGAAAGGCGAAAAGAACCCCGGCGAGGGGAGUGAAAAAGAACCUGAAACCGUGUACGUACAAGCAGUGGGAGCCUCUUAAUGGGGUGACUGCGUACCUUUUGUAUAAUGGGUCAGCGACUUAUAUUCUGUAGCAAGGUUAACCGAAUAGGGGAGCCGAAGGGAAACCGAGUCUUAACUGGGCGUUAAGUUGCAGGGUAUAGACCCGAAACCCGGUGAUCUAGCCAUGGGCAGGUUGAAGGUUGGGUAACACUAACUGGAGGACCGAACCGACUAAUGUUGAAAAAUUAGCGGAUGACUUGUGGCUGGGGGUGAAAGGCCAAUCAAACCGGGAGAUAGCUGGUUCUCCCCGAAAGCUAUUUAGGUAGCGCCUCGUGAAUUCAUCUCCGGGGGUAGAGCACUGUUUCGGCAAGGGGGUCAUCCCGACUUACCAACCCGAUGCAAACUGCGAAUACCGGAGAAUGUUAUCACGGGAGACACACGGCGGGUGCUAACGUCCGUCGUGAAGAGGGAAACAACCCAGACCGCCAGCUAAGGUCCCAAAGUCAUGGUUAAGUGGGAAACGAUGUGGGAAGGCCCAGACAGCCAGGAUGUUGGCUUAGAAGCAGCCAUCAUUUAAAGAAAGCGUAAUAGCUCACUGGUCGAGUCGGCCUGCGCGGAAGAUGUAACGGGGCUAAACCAUGCACCGAAGCUGCGGCAGCGACACUAUGUGUUGUUGGGUAGGGGAGCGUUCUGUAAGCCUGCGAAGGUGUACUGUGAGGUAUGCUGGAGGUAUCAGAAGUGCGAAUGCUGACAUAAGUAACGAUAAAGCGGGUGAAAAGCCCGCUCGCCGGAAGACCAAGGGUUCCUGUCCAACGUUAAUCGGGGCAGGGUGAGUCGACCCCUAAGGCGAGGCCGAAAGGCGUAGUCGAUGGGAAACAGGUUAAUAUUCCUGUACUUGGUGUUACUGCGAAGGGGGGACGGAGAAGGCUAUGUUGGCCGGGCGACGGUUGUCCCGGUUUAAGCGUGUAGGCUGGUUUUCCAGGCAAAUCCGGAAAAUCAAGGCUGAGGCGUGAUGACGAGGCACUACGGUGCUGAAGCAACAAAUGCCCUGCUUCCAGGAAAAGCCUCUAAGCAUCAGGUAACAUCAAAUCGUACCCCAAACCGACACAGGUGGUCAGGUAGAGAAUACCAAGGCGCUUGAGAGAACUCGGGUGAAGGAACUAGGCAAAAUGGUGCCGUAACUUCGGGAGAAGGCACGCUGAUAUGUAGGUGAAGUCCCUCGCGGAUGGAGCUGAAAUCAGUCGAAGAUACCAGCUGGCUGCAACUGUUUAUUAAAAACACAGCACUGUGCAAACACGAAAGUGGACGUAUACGGUGUGACGCCUGCCCGGUGCCGGAAGGUUAAUUGAUGGGGUUAGCGGUAACGCGAAGCUCUUGAUCGAAGCCCCGGUAAACGGCGGCCGUAACUAUAACGGUCCUAAGGUAGCGAAAUUCCUUGUCGGGUAAGUUCCGACCUGCACGAAUGGCGUAAUGAUGGCCAGGCUGUCUCCACCCGAGACUCAGUGAAAUUGAACUCGCUGUGAAGAUGCAGUGUACCCGCGGCAAGACGGAAAGACCCCGUGAACCUUUACUAUAGCUUGACACUGAACAUUGAGNNNNNNNNNNNNNNNNNNNNNCGGGGUUGCGGACAGUGUCUGGUGGGUAGUUUGACUGGGGCGGUCUCCUCCUAAAGAGUAACGGAGGAGCACGAAGGUUGGCUAAUCCUGGUCGGACAUCAGGAGGUUAGUGCAAUGGCAUAAGCCAGCUUGACUGCGAGCGUGACGGCGCGAGCAGGUGCGAAAGCAGGUCAUAGUGAUCCGGUGGUUCUGAAUGGAAGGGCCAUCGCUCAACGGAUAAAAGGUACUCCGGGGAUAACAGGCUGAUACCGCCCAAGAGUUCAUAUCGACGGCGGUGUUUGGCACCUCGAUGUCGGCUCAUCACAUCCUGGGGCUGAAGUAGGUCCCAAGGGUAUGGCUGUUCGCCAUUUAAAGUGGUACGCGAGCUGGGUUUAGAACGUCGUGAGACAGUUCGGUCCCUAUCUGCCGUGGGCGCUGGAGAACUGAGGGGGGCUGCUCCUAGUACGAGAGGACCGGAGUGGACGCAUCACUGGUGUUCGGGUUGUCAUGCCAAUGGCACUGCCCGGUAGCUAAAUGCGGAAGAGAUAAGUGCUGAAAGCAUCUAAGCACGAAACUUGCCCCGAGAUGAGUUCUCCCUGACUCCUUGAGAGUCCUGAAGGAACGUUGAAGACGACGACGUUGAUAGGCCGGGUGUGUAAGCGCAGCGAUGCGUUGAGCUAACCGGUACUAAUGAACCGUGAGGCUUAACCUU
rnacentral:rRNA from 1 species